AUACUUACCUGUCAGGGGAGAUAUAAUGAUCAUGAAGUUGGUUUCCCAAGGGCCAGGCUUACCCAUUGCUCCCUGGAGGUGCUGACCCUUGCAAUUUCCCCAAAUGUGGGAAACUAAACUGCAUAAUUUGCGGUAGUGGGGCACUGCAUUC
ensembl:snRNA U1 U1 spliceosomal RNA